rnacentral:rRNA from 1 species
AUGAACGCUAGCGACAGGCCUAACACAUGCAAGUCAGGGGCAGCACAAGGAGCAAUCUGAGGUGGCGACCGGCGCACGGGUGAGUAACACGUAUGCAACCUGCCUGUAAGCGGGGAAUAACCCGUUGAAAGACGGACUAAUACCGCAUAAUACUAAAUUACUGCAUGGUAAUUUAUUUAAACAUUUAUGGCUUACAGAUGGGCAUGCGCAUGAUUAGCUAGUUGGAGAGGUAACGGCUCCCCAAGGCAACGAUCAUUAGGGGUUCUGAGAGGAAGGUCCCCACACUGGUACUGAGACACGGACCAGACUCCUACGGGAGGCAGCAGUGAGGAAUAUUGGUCAAUGGACGAGAGUCUGAACCAGCCAAGUCGCGUGCAGGAAGAAUGUCCUAUUGGAUUGUAAACUGCUUUUGCAGGGGAAUAAAGUGCAUCACGUGUGAUGUUUUGUAUGUACUCUGCGAAUAAGGAUCGGCUAACUCCGUGCCAGCAGCUGC